AACAACGACGACGACGACGACGACAACAAUGAUAAGGAAAAGCCAAAGCAAGAACGACGCCGCGUUUUAACAAGAACAACAACAACAACUCGACGACGACAACAACGACGACGACGACGACGACGAGGACGACGAGGACGACGGAGCUCGUCCAACCGCAAGAUCGAGACUGCCACCGGCGCAGCCAGUUCCAGAUUUUGUGAUCGUGCGUUGGAAAGAUAUGGGGGGAAACGCUUGAGAAAGAGAGAAAAAGAGGAAGAAAGAGAGAGAAAGAGGAGGCAAGGUGUAAAAAAAGGAGGAAGUCUGUGGGCAGUACAUGGUACGGCCCGUAUAGGACUAGUCUCGCAGCCAAUCGGUGGACAAUGACCGCUCGGAUAUGUCUGCUCGUGUAUUCCGAAACCCACGCUAAGAGCAACGCGCUAUGCCCACUCGAUCGUAUUCGGUUUGAACGCAUUGCGAGAACUUCUUGGUUCGUUGCUAAGGUGCACAUUCUCUUUGUCUUUACACCCAUUGCUCUCUUUAACGAUUUUCUUAUUUCACCAUUUUUUUUUCUUCAUUCAAGAUUAAGAGCCUUUAGGAACACACAAUUUCUAUUUUCCGUAAAUAACAAAUUUAAGAUUUUUUAGUAAAACGUAUAUUACUAUAACUGAAUAAUUAAUUGAUUCGUCAAUAAAUAAUAAUUCAUAAUUUCGAAAUAUUUGUUCUUUAAUUUAAGAUUAAUUAUACACAUUUUUGUUAUACUUAAUAAAUAUGAAAUCUGUAGUGGAACAUAUUGUUGCUCUGAACUGUACAAACACACAAUAAGUUAAUUCAUAAAUAAGUGUCAUAAUAAUUAUAGUUUAUUAUCAAGUAAACAAUAGUGAAUAGGAAUUCUAUCUUAUAAAAAAUAUCAAAAUUUAUUGCUAUGAUAUAAAAAUAAUUGAAAGCUUUUAUUGUAGUAAAUUUGUUAUUUUUGAGAACAAUUAUUUACGAAUCAACUCGAUCUAACUCGUAUAUAUGAUUCCUCUCUUAUUGUUAGUUGGUUAAAUUCGAUCUAACUCGAAUCUAUGAAUUUAUGGAUCAACUUGAUCUAAAUUGAAUCAUGGAACUAUGGGUCAACUCGAUCUAACUUUGCUUUAUGAAUGUAUGGAUCAACUCGAUCUAACUUGAGAGAGCAUGGAUAUAUGAAUCAACAGUAUCUUAUUUUAAUCUAUGGAUCAAUUUAAUCUAACCAUAAUCUAUAGAUCUAUGGAUUAUCUCUAUCUAACCAUAAUCUAUAGAUCUAUGGAUUAAUUAUAUCCUAACGCGAAUGUGUAUUUCAAUGAAUCUAACUCGAAUCCUAACUUUAAUCUAUGUAUUUAUGGAUCGACUUAAUCUAACUCGAAUCUAUAAAUUUAUGAAUCAGCCUAAUAUAAAUAAUACUCUUAAAAAAAAAAUAAUAAACCUUGACCACAUGAAAUAAUACAUUUUACGAUUAUAAAGACAAAUAAAAAUAAGAUACAGCUUUUAAGAAACAACGAUAUAAAAUGAGUUAAAUAAACCAAAUUCCAAUCAAAUGGAAUAUCAACAUAUUUUUUUCUAACAUUCGCUAUUCGAAAGAUCAAUCAUUUAUUGGCAAUAAAAUAUUUUUUAAUAAAUCAACAAUUCAACCUCGAAUGUAUCAACUUCAGGUAGUAGUCUGGUAACUUGAGUUCAAAAAAUCGAAAAUUUUUUUUUUGCUUAAUUUGAAAGUGCAAUGUCUUGAGAAUAUACUGUGAAAAUUUCAGACAGAAAUUCGAAAUAUUUCGGGAGUUAUAACGAGUUUCCUAGAGCGCCUCGGAGUCCAACCGACGUCCGAUUGACAUGACAUCAAGAGCCAAAAUCACCCGGGCCACCCAUGUGCAUUUUUUUUGAGGUUCCAACUUCGAGUGACAAUAAUAAUAGUUAUAAACUAUUAAAUUUUUUCAAAUAAAUUUUUUUUUAUAUUUUCAAUAUGUAAAUAAAAACACUCUAAAUAUUCAAGAUAAUUCAUUUUCAUUUUCCUAUAAAAAACCACCCUCCAAAAAAGUCAUGAAAAAAAAGUUACCAGACUACUACCUUCAAUCAAAAGUUCUACAAAUCAUCUCGAUAUAACAAAUAAUCUCUCUUCAAAA
rnacentral:lncRNA from 1 species